CGUAAAUCUUGUCUUGUCUUGUCUUGUGCAAUUUAUUGUUUCUCUCCUAAAUAUUAUUUUCCUUCUAUUAUGUUAACACGCUUUCUCAAUAGUAGAGUCAUCUGGAUAGAGGAUUUCAAAUGAAUUUUGUACGUGAAUAUGAUUGGCUGUAGGGGUGGUGGAAAAUGGCGUGAAUACUGUAUGUGGCAAAGUUGUGGAAGGGGUGGGUGUAAGGCAAUAAUUGGGAGUUGAAACAAUAAGUGGGGCAGCUGAUGCUUUAUUGUGUUUUGGACUUUGAAAAGUGGUAUUCCUUUGGGACUUAGUAUUUGGGUGAGGGAUGGUGUCUGUAGGUCAGUAGGUGGAUACGAGUGUGAAGAUUUUCCAUUUGGUUAGAAGAGGGAGGAGAGUGGCUAUUGGAUGGAGGUGAGGAAGAAGAGGUAUGCCUACGACGUGGGUAGGUAACUGUUUACCAUGUCGAUUGAGAUGGUUGUGGGUGGUGGUUCUGCACAGUGUUGGUGGUUGAAGUAAGGGGGUUUGGGGUGGUGGUAGGGGUCGUGGAGUUUGUUUGAUUUUGAGAUGUACAAGAGGAAAAUAAGUGGCCAAUACAGCCACAGGUGGAGUACAUGGGGAUAGAGGAUUCAUAAGAAUUUUUUUGCAGGUGUGUACCAAUGAGAAUUUCUUUGGGGAGUGGUUUUCCGGUUGGUGCAAGAACACAUAAGCGAGCAUAGCGUCCUCUACUGGUUAUGGCGGUGCAAUUGUCUAUUUUUAACAGUGCCAAUUUGUGUGCCUAUUUUUCGGAGAAUAUCAAGGUCGUAGUAUUUGGUAGGGAGUUCUAAAAGUCGAGCCCAGAUAGCGGAGAAGUUGUUUGUUUCAUCUGUUACUGAGAAUUUGGGUUCCCAAUUGCGGACAGUAAUGUAUUGCGAGCCAAUAAACCAGGGGCCAUUGUGAGGGACUCUGUGAUAGUUGUUAAGAUGGGUGAAUAAGAUCAGGAAAUAGUCAUUGCCAAGAUCAAUGAGGUUAAAUGGUUCAAUGGGCUGCCAAAUCGUUUGGAGCCUAUUUUUGAGGUGGUAUCCUAGUUUCCUACCAAGUGAUUUGACGAUGACAGAUUGUGUCCAGUUGUGGUAUAGGCGAUUUUUAUCAGCAAUAGAAAAUGGGGAUGAAAUGUGGAUGGUUGGAAGGGUUGUCGUUUUCGUCGGAGAGGUCAAGCUGUUGGAAUGUGUGAUUAAUAAAUUGGAAGGUGUUGUCAAAGGUGGGAAGGGGUGAUGCGGUUAAUUUGUCAAGGUAGCUAGUGGAUGUAGGUGAUGAGUGAUGGGAAAAUGGAACAUCUGGAGUUUGUUCUAAUACUGUUUCAAGUGUUAUUGGUUGUGAGAUUGGAGAGGUGUUUGGGUCGGUAUCUGGUAUUUGUUGAAGUAGUGUCUCAGGUUGGAUUGGUUGUAUGGUUUGAGAAUCAAAUAUCUCUGGGUAAUUGGUACUGCGAUAGAGUAAGUCUGCUUCUUGGUCAUUCAUUUCUCCGUCAGUUAGUGGUGUUUGACAUGGUGAGUUAAGCUAUGGCUGUUUGUGUGUUGUAGUUGCAGAAGGUACAAAAAACGUAGGGAUCAGAAUCAUCAUUGAGAGGUACAACACAGUUUGUCGAAUAUGGCUUAGAAUGAAUUUGUUACUGAUAAAUUUAAUAAUGCUGCUUUUAUAUCUUUAAAAAAAUUAACAUUAUGGGAAAAUUAAAUGUAUGAAUAUAUUAUAAAAAUAAUAAAUAAAAUAAUAUUAAGUUAUUUUAAGUAAUAUUAUAUAGUAUAUGAUAUAGAAGGUAUGUCAUAAACGAGAGAAGUUAUAAUGUCAAGGGCAUCAUAGACUUCUCAGGUAAAAUUUUAUAAAAUCUAGUCAAAGUGAUUAUUGUGAUAAUAAUAAAAUAAUUUUUGGGUAGCAAAAGAAAGAAAAGUAACUUUUGGAUAACGAACAUAAAAUUGAAUGACAUUUACAUAAUAAAGAAGAAGUGAUUUUUGAAUAAUAAACACAAAAUUGAAUGAUCACCCAUUAAACUAUAAGCAUUUUUUACUUAGACACCUUAAACAUGUGACACAUAUUCAAAUGUACCUAUUAUACCCUUAAGUACUAACCAAUCAAAACAAUUAAAUGUUUAAUUCACAUGCCGAAAUGAUGAAUAAAACGAAGAAACAUGAUUUUUAGCCCAAAUAAUUACGUGUUAAAAAGAAGGAUUUCGAGCCCAAAACGAAAAAAAAAAGGAUUCUGAAUUUGUUUUUGCCCAUUGGACUGAGGUUGAACAGAUAUGAAUACUGUUAUACUGCUCAUGUAAUCCAAGAGGACUAAAAAGAAAAUUGAAGACCAUUUUGUCAAAGGCAUAUGAUUCCGGCCAAAGGUAGUGUGCUUCAUACAUAUGAAAUGGGAGUAAGUUACUUUCUUUUUUGAAUGAUAAAUUGCAUUGUGAACUACCUGAACAUUAUUAAUUAGUCUAAUUUUUCAUUUGAUGACUUUUUCUUGAACUCUCUUCUUGUGCUUUAGGAUUAUGUUUGUGAAACAAAUUGGGGUUGCCGCUUGGUGGCCGGCGGGAGAGAGAAGAGAAAAUGUGAUGUCUUUUUGAAAGGAAAAAAAGAAGGAAUAAUAUGAUUUGGGAUCAUUCACAUGCCUAAGAGAGACGAUUGCUUGAGCUUUAACAGUGGAAAAGCUGGUCAAGAAGGUGAAUAUGAGCAAGAUGGAAUAUUGGUGGUUGUUGAUCAUUCUGUUUUUGGCAAAUGGGCAGUGGUGCUGUUUAGGUUGUUGGAAAGAAGAAAGAAGUGCUCUCUUGCAACUCAAAGCAAAUAUAAACUACAUAGGAUCAGGUGGUUUUCUGUCGUCAUGGAUGGCCAACGAAACCUCAGAUUGUUGUCGAUGGUUGGGAGUUGUUUGCAGCAACAGCACAAGACGAAUCACUGAGUUGUCCAUUACCGUCAGUGAAAAAGAUAUGAAUGAUACUUUGCCGCUAUUCAAUGCAUCUUUGUUUCUUCCCUUCAGAGAUAUCAGAGCUCUGCUCCUCCCUGGAAAUUCUUUCGUUGGAUGGGCUGACACUGAAGGUUCCUUGUUGCUAUCCUUUCUUCAUAAUACUAAAAUUCAAAUGGAGGGAAUUGACACUCAGAUUUCAUAUUAGUUUGGGUUUGAGAUGUAGUUAUUUUUGUCGUUGUUGUUAUUGUUAUAUCUAUAGACAUGUUUGAAUCCCUUGCAGUUCAACAUCGGAUAAAUUAGGAUGAUCACAAUAAUUUGAAUUGUUGUAAUGUUAAGUUCAAAGGUUAAAUCCAUUUGACUCUUGAGAAGUUAACAAUGUUUAUAUCUAAGUUUCUUGUUAA